CUACCGUACCACGUCGAAACAUUGGUUCUCGUACGAACACGGAAGUUAAGCAACGGCGAGCCUAGACAGUGCUUUGAUGAGAGAGCGCUUGGGAAUAGCAGGUAUUGAAA